CCAUUCGUAAAAGUGAGUUUAACGUUUCAGAAUUGCUAAAUCACCGGCCUUUCACGCCGGCGACGGGGGUUCGAAUUCCCCUGAAGAA
rnacentral:tRNA from 1 species